AGCAGUUGAAGAAAAACCUAAAGAACCAAAAGUUGAGGAGAAACCUAAAGAACCAGCGGCUGAGGAGAAACCCGAAGAACCAGCAGUGAAAGAAACACCUGAAGAACCAGCGGUUAAAGAGACACCUGAGGAACUAGCAGUUGAAGAGAAACCUGAAGAACCAGCAAUUGAAGAGAAACCUGAAGAACCAGUAGCUGACAAAAAACUUGAGCAACCAACAAUUGAGGAGAAACCUGAAGAAUCAAUAGUUGAAAAGACUGAAGAACCAGCAGUUGAUGAAAAAGGUGAAGAACCGUCAGUUGAAGAAAUACCUGAGGAGUCGGCAGUUGAAAAUUUUGAAGAAGCAGCAGUAGAAGAGAAACCUGAAGAACCAGCAGUUAAGGAAAAAACUGAAGAACCACCCAUUGAAGAAAAACCCGAGGACCAAGCAGUUGAAGAGAAACCUAAAGAACUAACAGUUGAAGAGAAACUUGAAGAACCAAUAAUUGAAGAGAAACCUAAAGAACCACCAGUUGGAGAAGAACCCAAAGAACAAAACAGGGAAGAUACUGAAGCUGCCACAGAAAGAAUUGAUGAAUCUGGAACACAUAUAGUAGAGAAAGAAGAAGCUUUGAUAGGAAAACAGACAGAAUUGUUUGUCGAAGAAACAACGAAACUUUGCAAAGAAGUUGAAACUGAGGUAUUAAGUGGCCUUCUAUCAAUGCUUUGAUAUUCUUUCAUGUGCCUAACUAGUCAUAACAAAACCUAUCACUACAAACAGAUAAAAGAACUUAAAGAUGUCAAUGCUGGUGAUGGGACAAAUAAGAAUGUCCUAGGAAAAGAAGAAACAACUCUAGAUGAGCUUCUAACAUCAGCCAAAGAAGAGAUGGCAGCAAAUAACUUUGAAGAAGGCAAAGUGGUUUCAGAAACCCCCAAUCAAGAGGUUAAGUGACCACAUAAGCCUGUUUCCAAUUCAUAUAUCUAACCCCAAGAUAAAACAGAAAUGCUUGCUUUCUCUUUCUUCUAAAUCACUGGAUUGCUCUUUUUAAUUUCUGCAGAACACUCGGCAAGCCAAUCUGACAACAGAAGUGGUUAAAGACACGCGUGGAGCAGAGAACUUCAUUGCACUUUCUUCAGAAGAAAAGAGGGUGGAGGACUCUACUGAAAAGGUAAAUGAACAAAACCUUACAAUAGAUUAGCUGAUUAGCAUCUAGUGAGAAUCUAUGACCACAUAAGCCUGUUUCAAAUUCAUAUAUCUAACCCAACGAAGGUAAAAUAGAAAUGCUUGCUUUCUCUCUUUUUUCUAAAAUCACUGGAUUGCUCUUUUUUAAUUGUGAAGAACUUUCAGCAAGACAAUCUAACCACAGAAGAGGUUAAAGACACAAGUGGAGCAGAGAACUUAAUUGCACUUUCUUCAGAAGAAAAGAGGGUGGAGGACUCUACAGAAAAGGUAAACAUGCAAGAUCUUACAAGGAAUUAGCCGAUAAGCAUCUACUGAGAAUCUACGAGUUUGUUGCAUGCUUAUGAGCCUAGAAGUUCAAUUUUCCUGCUGCAUGAUAUUUUCAGAACAACAACAACGACAACAACUAAGCCACAACUCCAAGUUAGUUAAGGUCACAAAUCCCUAGAGGAAUAUAUAUUAUUCUCAGUUUCUGUUCCCUUCUGCAAAAAGAGGAUUGAGGAGAUGUUGCUGUGAGAGCACUAUAUACGGAAAACUGCAUGAAACAUUUCGUGUAAGCAGGCAGAGUAUGACAUGAAUGACGAUUUGCUACCUGCUACAAGAAAUCGCAAUUCUAAAUUUAAAAAGUUGGAACUAAAUUAUAACAGUAAAAUAAGUUAUAGAAAAACUAGCAAAACAGAACUUGAUGUUUCCCCUUCCGAUACAACCACUAAAGAAGCAUGAAUAGAACUUACGAAUUAUCUCGAGUUGAAUCAAAGCUAGAAGCAGCAUAUGCACUGCAAUCAUGUUUUGUCGCGUCAUGCAAUCCUGCUAGCAGUCUCCAGAAAUCUCUCUAUUUCCUCACCCUUUCAGUUAUUUCUGGAUACCAACCAAAUUAGAAAUUACUCAUUCUACA
rnacentral:lncRNA from 1 species